rnacentral:tRNA from 1 species
GGCACUAUAGCCAAGUGGUUACGGCGACAGAUUCGAACGUGUUUGAUAUCUGUUCCUCUUUGAGGGCGCAGGUUCAAAUCCUGCUGGUGUCG